UAGGGAAUCUUCCACAAUGGACGCAAGUCUGAUGGAGCAACGCCGCGUGAGUGAAGAAGGUUUUCGGACCGUAAAGCUCUGUUGUUGGUGAAGAAGGAUAGAGGUAGUAACUGGCCUUUAUUUGACGGUAAUCAACCAGAAAGUCACGGCUAACUACGUGCCAGCAGCCGCGGUAAUCGUAGGUGGCAAGCGUUGUCCGGAUUUAUUGGGCGUAAAGCGAGCGCAGGCGGAAGAAUAAGUCUGAUGUGAAAGCCCUCGGCUUAACCGAGGAAUUGCAUCGGAAACUGUUUUCUUGAGUGCAGAAGAGGAGAGUAGAACUCCAUGUGUAGCGGUGGAAUGCGUAGAUAUAUGGAAGAAUACCAGUGGCGAAGGCGGCUCCUG
rnacentral:rRNA from 1 species